rnacentral:rRNA from 1 species
UACGGGGGGGGCAAGCGUUGUUCGGAAUCACUGGGCUUAAAGGGCGCGUAGGCGGGCUGCCAAGUCUGGGGUGAAAUCCCACGGCUCAACCGUGGAACUGCCUCAGAUACUGGCGGCCUCGAGGAGGGUAGGGGCAUGCGGAACUAUGCGUGGAGCGGUGAAAUGCGUUGAUAUGCAUAGGAACUCCGGUGGCGAAGGCGGCGUGCUGGACCCUUUCUGACGCUGAGGCGCGAAAGCCAGGGGAGCGAACGGG